AGUGAACGCUGGCGGUAGGCCUAACACAUGCAAGUCGAACGGCAGCACAGUAAGAGCUUGCUCUUACGGGUGGCGAGUGGCGGACGGGUGAGGAAUACAUCGGAAUCUACUUUUUCGUGGGGGAUAACGUAGGGAAACUUACGCUAAUACCGCAUACGACCUACGGGUGAAAGCAGGGGAUCUUCGGACCUUGCGCGAUUGAAUGAGCCGAUGUCGGAUUAGCUAGUUGGCGGGGUAAAGGCCCACCAAGGCGACGAUCCGUAGCUGGUCUGAGAGGAUGAUCAGCCACACUGGAACUGAGACACGGUCCAGACUACUACGGGAGGCAGCAGUGGGGAAUAUUGGACAAUGGGCGCAAGCCUGAUCCAGCCAUACCGCGUGGGUGACGAAGGCCUUCGGGUUGUAAAGCCCUUUUGUUGGGAAAGAAAAGCAGCAGGUUAAUACCCCGCUGUUCUGACGGUACCCAAAGAAUAAGCACCGGCUAACUUCGUG
rnacentral:rRNA from 1 species